rnacentral:siRNA from 1 species
GACGUGUCAUGAGAAGUAGUAGGU